rnacentral:rRNA from 1 species
GACGAACGCUGGCGGCGUGCUUAACACAUGCAAGUCGAACGGAAAGGCCCUGCUUUUGUGGGGUGCUCGAGUGGCGAACGGGUGAGUAACACGUGAGUAACCUGCCCUUGACUUUGGGAUAACUUCAGGAAACUGGGGCUAAUACCGGAUAGGAGCUCCUGCUGCAUGGUGGGGGUUGGAAAGUUGCGGCGGUUGGGGCUGGACUCGCGGCUUAUCAGCUUGGUGGUGGGGUAGUGGCUUACCAAGGCUUUGACGGGUAGCCGGCCGGAGAGGGUGACCGGCCACCUUGGGACUUAGGGACGGCCCAGACUCCUACGGGAGGCAACAGGGGGGAAUAUUGCACAAUGGGCGGAAGGCUGAUGCAGCAGCGCCGCGUGCGGGAUAACGGCCUUCUGGUUAUAAACCGCUUUCGCCUGUAACGCCGCCUGAUUGACGGUAAUCGAUAAAGAAGCCCCGGCUAACUACGUG